GAAAGUAGGAAAGGGCGCAUGGCGGAUGCCUUGGCUCUCGGAGGCGAUGAAGGACGUGAUAAGCUGCGAUAAGUCACGGGGAGGUGCAAAUAACCUUUGAUCCGUGAAUCUCCGAAUGGGACAACCCGAUAUCCUGAAGGGAUAUCACCUCAUCUAGUUGAGGAGCUAACGCAGGGAACUGAAACAUCUUAGUACCUGCAGGAAAAGAAAAUAACAAUGAUUCCCCCAGUAGUGGCGAGCGAACGGGGAAUAGCCCAAACCAUUCAUGUUACGGCAUGGAUGGGGUUGUAGGACCACGGCGUUGCAAGAGAUCUUGUGAGAAGAACAGCCUGGAAAGACUGACCAGAGACGGUGACAGUCCGGUAUUCGAAGCAAGACGAAGCAUAGUGGUAUCCUGAGUAGCGCGGAACACGAGGAAUUCUGCGUGAAUCUGCCGGGACCAUCCGGUAAGGCUAAAUACUCCCGAGAGACCGAUAGUGGACCAGUACCGUGAGGGAAAGGUGAAAAGCACUUCGAACAGAAGAGUGAAAGAGUACCUGAAACCGUGCGCCUACAAGCGGUCGGAGCACGAAAGUGUGACGGCGUGCCUUUUGCAUAAUGAACCUACGAGUUACCGUAUCUGGCAAGGUUAAGGGUCACGAGACCUGCAGCCGAAGCGAAAGCGAGUCUGAAGAGGGCGUCGAGUCAGUUGCGGUAGACGCGAAACCAAGUGAUCUACCCUUGGCCAGGAUGAAGUCUGGGUAACACCAGAUGGAGGUCCGCACCAAUAAGCGUUGAAAAGCUUCUGGAUGAGCUGAGGGUAGGGGUGAAAGGCUAAUCAAACUUGGAGAUAGCUCGUACUCCCCGAAAUGCAUUUAGGUGCAGCCUCGCGGGUUACUGAUGUGAGGUAGAGCGACUGAUUGGAUGCGAGGGCUUCACCGCCUAUCAAGUCCUGACAAACUCCGAAUGCGCAUCAGUUUUACCGCGGGAGUGAGGGCAUGGGUGCUAAGGUCCGUGCCCGAGAGGAGAAGAAUCCGGACUAUCAGCUAAGGCCCCGAAAUGACAGCUAAGUUAAACUAACGAAGUCUGAUUGCUAAGACAGCUAGGAUGUUGGCUUGGAAGCAGCCAUUCAUUUAAAGAGUGCGUAACAGCUCACUAGUCGAGGAAUCGGGCGUGGAUAAUAAUCGGGUAUUAAGUUGUCUGCCGAAGCUAUAGAAUCAGCAAUGAUUGGUAGGGGAGCAUUCCAUUCUGCGUUGAAGGCGUGGCGUGAGCCAUUCUGGAGCGUAUGGAAAAGCAAAUGUAGGUAUAAGUAACGAUAAAGGGGGUGAGAAACCCCCUCGCCGAAAGACUAAGGUUUCCUGAUCAACGCUAAUCGGAUCAGGGUAAGUCGGGUCCUAAGGUUCAGCCGAACGGCGAGACCGAUGGCAGAAACGGUUAAUAUUCCGUUACUACCUUUGAGGGUGACGUGGGGACGCAGGAGUGACACCGCCGCCGGCUGACGGAAUAGCCGGUUAAAGAGUGUAGACGUUGAUUUCCGCAGGCAAAUCCACGGAAAGAGUCGAACUUGACAGUAUGGAACGUCCUUCGGGACAAUCCAAUAGUGCGGGUAAGCAGACUGCCUAGAAAAUCCGCUAAACAUAACUUCAGAGGUACCCGUACCGCAAACGGACACACGUAGUCGGGUUGAAUAUACUAAGGCGCUUGAGUGAAUCACGGUUAAGGAACUAGGCAAACUGACCCUGUAACUUCGGGAUAAAGGGUCCCUACCCAGAAAUGGGAGGGCGCAGAGAAUAGGUCCAGGCAACUGUUUAACAAAAACACAGGGCUGUGCCAAUAUGAAAGUAGACGUAUACAGCCUGACACCUGCCCGGUGCUGGAAGGUUAAGAGGAGAUGUCAUCGCAAGAGAAGCAUUGAAUUGAAGCCCCAGUAAACGGCGGCCGUAACUAUAACGGUCCUAAGGUAGCGAAAUUCCUUGUCGGGUAAGUUC
rnacentral:rRNA from 1 species